UUGCUCUUGGUGGUUUUUUUUUUCCCCCUACUCUGGGCUCCAAAAUCACUGCAGAUGGUGACUGCAGCCAUGAAAUUAAAAGACGCUUACUCCUUGGAAGGAAAGUUAUGACCAACCUAGAUAGCAUAUUCAAAAGCAGAGACAUUACUUUGCCAACAAAGGUCCGUCUAGUCAAGGCUAUGGUUUUUCCUGUGGUCAUGUAUGGAUGUGAGAGUUGGACUGUGAAGAAGGCUGAGCGCUGAAGAAUUGAUGCUUUUGAACUGUGGUGUUGGAAGAAGACUCUUGAGAGUCCCUUGGACCGCAAGGAGAUCCAGCCAGUCCAUUCUGAAGAUCAGCCCCGGGAUUUCUUUGGAAGGAAUGAUGCUAAAGCUAAAACUCCAGUACUUUGGGCACCUCAUGUGAAGAGUUGACUCAUUGGAAAAGACUCUGAUGGUGGGAGGAAUUGAGGGCAGGAGGAGAAGGGGACGACAGAGGAUGAGAUGGCUGGAUGGCAUCACGGACUCGAUGGACAUGAGUCUCAGUAAACUCUGGGAGUUGGUGAUGGACAGGGAGGCCUGGCGUGCUGUGAUUCAUGGGGUCGCAAAGAGUCGGACACGACUGAGCGACUGAUCUGAUCUGAUCUGACUCUGCCGUUUUUUUUUUUCCUGAUUUUUUUUCACAUAACCAAGAUCUUUAACUUCUCUCCAAGUUUCAUUCAUUAAAUGUCUUGCCACUUGGUCUUGCAGCAUAAAGAGCAUUCUGGCAAAGACUCCCUCAUCCCAAGCGGAGAGUGGCCUGCAGAUUUUGUACGCUGCUUCUUCAGCCUCAUUACCAGCUGAAUCAGCAGCUUUCAAUGGAAGGAUCUCACCAGUGGGAAAAUGGGAGACUGAUGAGCCAUCUGAGCCUUCCUUGCCCAGUGCUCCGAAGGAAGAAAGACAUUGUUCAGCAAAUCAAACAGGACUGAAACUUAUCCCAGAGCUUCCCCAGUGGCUCAGCGGUAAAGAACCCACCUGCAAUACAGGAGACACAGGAGACCCGGGUUCAAUCCCUGGGUCAGGAAGAUCCCCUGGAGGAGGACAUGGUAACCCACUCCAGUAUGCUUGCCUGGAGAAUCCCAUGGACAGAGGAGGCUGGCGGGCUACCGUCCACAGGAUCACAAAGAGUCGGAUGAAACUGAGCUGCACACAUGUAUACAGUUGUUUUGCUUUCCUUUUUAUCUGCAAUUAUUUCCCUGUUAUCUUGUUUUAAAUAUUUACAUUUGUG
rnacentral:lncRNA from 1 species